AUUGAACGCUGGCGGAAUGCUUUACACAUGCAAGUCGAACGGUAGAGGGGGCAACCCCCUUGAGAGUGGCGAACGGGUGAGUAAUAUAUCGGAACGUGCCCAGUCGUGGGGGAUAACGUAGCGAAAGUUACGCUAAUACCGCAUACGAUCUAAGGAUGAAAGCGGGGGAUCGCAAGACCUCGCGCGAUUGGAGCGGCCGAUAUCAGAUUAGGUAGUUGGUGGGGUAAAGGCUCACCAAGCCAACGAUCUGUAGCUGGUCUGAGAGGACGACCAGCCACACUGGAACUGAGACACGGUCCAGACUCCUACGGGAGGCAGCAGUGGGGAAUUUUGGACAAUGGGGGCAACCCUGAUCCAGCAAUGCCGCGUGAGUGAAGAAGGCC
rnacentral:rRNA from 1 species